GGACUGGUAUCUAUCUCUGCCAUAGAAAGAGGAAGAAGUUUCCAAAAUGGUGAAAAGUGAAAGUAAGUAAAAAGCCACUCCAGGAGCAGCUGCUGAAUAUGGAGCAGCAGCCCUGUAUUAUGAGGUAACAGAGUCUUGGGGCCCAUCUCAUCUCUCUCAGGUGCAGUCUCUGAUUGGGUAUCAGUUCAUUGCUAGGGAACUAUAAUGAAUCUUGGGGGUGAGGUGUGAAAAGUCUUAUUUUAUUUUGCCUGCCCCUCUUGGAACAGUUCAUAUAAAGAAGAACUUAGCUAAUGAUGCACACUUAUUGGUUUUAAAAUAGAACACAUAGAAGGUGGCAAUGAUCCUUCAGAAAGCAGCAAAAGGAAAGGCACAUGGAGUGGAGCUUCCUGAUACCUGACAACAAAGUUCCAGCUGUCACUGGAGAAGAGGCCUGGAAAUAGAUUUCAUGACAGAGGAAGAUGAAGAGAGUGAUUCCUCAGACACUGUGUUCAUUUCAGGAUACACGAGAGUCUUUAAAAAUCCAAUCGGAAACUUUGAGCAGGAAGAGAGAAGACUCACGGUCUCCUAGAAUCCAGAAGAAGACUGUCAGAUGCCCUUCAUGCCAGCUCCACCUAUCUAUUUCUCAGGCCCGCCCU
rnacentral:lncRNA from 1 species